rnacentral:tRNA from 1 species
UAGCUUAAAUAAAGUAUCUGGCUUACACCCAGAAGAUUUCAACUCAACAGACCACUUUGAGCCAGA